rnacentral:rRNA from 1 species
UACGGAGGGUGCAAGCGUUAUCCGGAUUCACUGGGUUUAAAGGGAGCGUAGGUGGGUUGGUAAGUCAGUGGUGAAAUCCCCGAGCUUAACUUGGGAACUGCCAUUGAUACUAUCAGUCUUGAAUACUGUGGAGGUUAGCGGAAUAUGUCAUGUAGCGGUGAAAAGCUUAGAUAUGACAUAGAACACCAAUUGCGAAGGCAGCUGGCUACACAAUUAUUGACACUGAGGCUCGAAAGCGUGGGGAUCAAACAGG